rnacentral:rRNA from 1 species
UACGGGGGGAGCAAGCGUUGUUCGGAUUUACUGGGCGUAAAGGGCGCGUAGGCGGCCACCGCAAGUCGACUGUGAAAUCUCCUGGCUUAACUGGGAGGGUGCGCCGGAAACUGGAGUGCUUGAGCGUGGGAGAGGAAAGCGGAAUUCCUGGUGUAGCGGUGAAAUGCGUAGAUAUCAGGAGGAACACCUGCGGUGUAGACGGCUUUCUGGACCAUGGCUGACGCUGAGACACGAAAGCGUGGGUAGCAAACAGG